ACCUGGGUGGUUCAGUCAGUUAAGCAUCUGACUUCAGCUCAGGUCAUGAUCUCACAGUUUGUGGGUUCGAGCCCCACAUCAGGCU
rnacentral:tRNA from 1 species